AAAUCCAACUUUUAAACGCUUUGUGAACAGGCCCAGAGGCAAAGUCCUGGGCGCAAACCCACGAGCCGAGCUGCGAGGCUGAGAGGAAGUGCUAGUCCAGCCCAACCCCGCACUGGAUUUGGUGUGGAAACCGUCAGAGGUAAAAGGGAUCGCUCAGAUGGGGGGCCCGCGGUGAGGGCAGGAGGCAAAACCCCACCGCCCGGCGCUCCCAGCCAGCGCGCAGCGGGAGGCGGCUGUGCCGCGGGCCCGUCCUUCGCGUCCGAGCUGCCGCGCACGCCCCGCGCGGAGCGCGGCACCGGGAGCCUCCGGUGGGGCUGGGUCCCGUCUCCCGCCCCAUCCGGCGCUUUGUCCCAGCCCCGGUGGCCGGCGGCCCCGCUGCGGGCCCCCGGGCCGCGGUGACAGCCCCCGUCCCCAUAGGGCUGCGAGCCCGGGAGUCCCUAUAGGCUGGCGACCGGUCGCCCGCCGGACCUCACCCAGGCGGGACGCGGCAGGAGGACGCUCGCCCUGCCGGAGGGGCCGCCGCCGCCGCCCGAAGCGCACGCAGGCCAAGCUCAGGCGCCAAAAGCCUUGGACUUCGAAACACACGACUUCCAACAUCCUAAGCUUACCCAAAAAUUCUCGACGAAAUACGCCAUGACCAUCGUGCCGCCGCCGCGCCGGGUUCCGCGUCCGCGCCCGCCCGCCGCUGUGUAAACACGGCCCGGCCCCCACAGCACCCCCGCCUUUCGCCGCCGCCGCCUUCUUCCCAGAGACCGGCCCGCACCUUCCAGGGCGCAUGCGCCACCUAGCGGCUGCCGCAGCUGGGCGAGCACUUAGACGCCACGGCCACGGUGUGCGCAUGCGCCCUGUCCCCAUUCUCGGGUGUUGGUAGAUCUCUCUGCAUCCCGGGCGCGGCUGGGUUGAGUGUUCUCUUAGGAAUGGUGGAGAACUGGGUCCUUGAGGAGUCACCGGGGAGACUGCUCGCACUGUUUGUGGUGCGACGGGCACUGGCCCAGGGACAGAGGGAAGAGAAGGGCCAGCCAGCGGCAGUGGAGUCGGCAGGCUGGCUGCCCACUCGCUUUCUCUCCUCACAAGACUCGCUUCCCCGGCCUUCGAGGAUCUCGAACGGACUAUAGUCUGGACUCGCUGGGCUGGAGGAAACUUGGCCGCUGGCCACCCGGAGGAGACUGAGAAGCCUUUGGUCAACAGGGCGCCUUUCCUUGAACCAAAACAAAACUUUCCGAAGCCGGAAAGGAAACGCCCAGUGUCGCCUGAGAGCCCUGGAGCUGCGCGAGACCCAGGCACUGAGUGCGGCCUCGGCCUCUGACCUCUAACACGCCGGGAACAAACCAGCUGGGGCGGCCCGCAGGCCUGCGGGAGCGGAAUGUGACCCGAAACCGACGGACUUCCUGACCCAUAGUCCAUAGUUCUCUUCAGCAACUUGAACAUUUUGGAAAAAGAAACAAGUCUUAACAUGCCACGACCUAAUGGAAAAACUAAAUCCCCUUCCUACACCUUGCUUUCCAAAAGUUAAAAAAAAAUAGUUAAACGCUAUUAGAGGUCUCAAGUUCACUGUCACCAGAUCAGCUAGGUCCAGAAUCUUCAGUUCUUGAAGCCAAGCCCUACAAAUAGAUUUAUUGUAGCAUAUCACACCUCUUCAGGUGACUUAAAACAAUGAGAAUUCAUGAGAAAUUAUCUUCAUCCUCAAGUAAAAAUCAUGAGGUGCCUUUCACAUGGAUGAAAUUGAAAGUGACAGGAAACUGCCUUGGAUUCACCCAGGGUAUCCUCCAUUAGCACACUGAUUUGGGGGUCCAUGGAAUAGUAGAGUCCAGAGCAACUUCUGAAACUCAGUCCUGGAGCCAGCUAGCUCCCUAGGAGAUGGAUGCUUAUGAAGAACAGGGCACUAGAAAUUGUAAUAAUAGGAGCCCAAGCAAGAAGCACCCUUGGCUUAGCUAAGAAUGGAGGAAGUGGACUUGAAGAGCUACUCCCCUGAAGAGCCACUGAAUAUGAGUCACCAAUGGACCAGCACUUUCUGUACACCUUGUAGCACCAGAUUUCAACAG
rnacentral:lncRNA from 10 species